GGCAUUGUGCUAAGUUAAAUCAGUCUGACAAAGACAAAUACUGUAUGAUAUCAUUUAUAUGUGGAGUGUGAAAAAUACAACAAACUAGUGAAUAACAGAACAACCCACAUAAAAGCUGACUCACAGAGAGCGAGAAAUAACGAGUGGUUACCAGGGUGGAGAGAGGAGGGGGGAAGGAGCAGGUGAUUAAGGGGUACGAACUACCAUGUAUAAAAUAAGCUCAAGGAUAUAAGGUGUAACAGGGCACACAGCCACUAUUUUAUAAUAACUAUCCACGGCGUAUAACCUUUAAAAAUUCUGAAUCACUGUAUCGUUCACCUGUAACGUAUAAUAUUGUACAGCAACUAGACUUCGGUGUUUAAAAGGCAUCAGCCUGGGCAAUGCUACGACCUACCAGAGAAAUUCCUGGGAUUCAUACGAUGUUCUCCAAGGGCGUAAAGCUUAGAAACACUCAGACGGGACCUGAGCCCUGGAUAAUGGCAACUAUUAUUUCUAUAUUUUUCUGCUAGCUGCAUGGUAAGGCAGGGGGCUGCAGAAUGACUUUUUUUUUUUUUUUUUUUUAAACAAACAGCAGAACGUUAAUGCCUACAGUGAAUAUCAUUCAUUCACAGUUUUCUCCACGGCACUGAGACCCACGGGAGUAAUUAUGUCACGGCCUCGCCCAUGCCCGGUCCCAGGGCUGCCCUUGGCUCUGCCGAGAAGGGGGCUGUGCCUCAGGGUCACAUUAUCCCCAGAGCCCCACACCAGGCCUGGGACACUGGAGCGAUGACAGGAAAGGCCCUUGCCCUGUUUGCCAUGUUUUUGACAUCUUCUUUCAGAAAGGCUUUCAGGUUCUAAGCCAGCGGCUUUGGUGCAGCCCCUGUGGGGACGAGGCUUCAACUUUGAGGAUGGGCUUUAUUUUUGGAAACUGUGGAACGUUCGGACCCUCGACGGCAAGUAAGGGGAGGGGAGCCUGUCAAAUCAUGCUGAGCCGAGCCAUCUUUGGUCAGAGGAGCAAAGAAGCCAUGCAAGGUGGAGUUUGGGGAAGAGAAAAUGCAGAUGUGCAUAAACCGCUGGCAGCAGAGCACAGCCAGCUGUCCACGGGGACCUGGUGGAGGCAAAGUCUGAUUUGGUUCCCUAAUCAAAUUGGAGUGAGGGGGAGGGAUGGGCCGUUACGGCUGUGGAAAUUUCUCUUUUACUUUAUUUCUUGCUUUUUAGGGUGGCACCUUCAGCAUGUGGAGGUUCCCAGGUGUGGCCCUAAAAAGAAGAAAAUUAAAAAAGUACAGAGUCUUUGAGCCAACAAUUCCCUUCUAGGAAUUAACCUAUAAGACACUCCCACCAGCCCUCCCACACUGAUGCAAUGAGCCUGAAGAUGGUACAGGGUGAAUAAUUUGUUCACCAACACUGGGAAACCCUCUCCCUCAAAGGCAGGUCGCAGGCAGCGGCCGAGGGUAUAAUGGGGGAAAAGAGGAUCCCUGAACCUUGCUGAGGGGAGCAGGUAUGGGUGCAGUUUUGUUGGAGGCAAUUUUGCAGUAGCCAUCUACUGCAAACCUCGAUCAGAAAAGUGCAGGAGUUCCCGUCAUGGGUCAGCGAAAAGAUACGUGCACUAUCUACAACAGUCCAAACAUGGGAGCAGCCAAAAUGUCCAUGGACGGAUAAAGGAAGAAAGAAACUAUAUGUGGUAGCUAUAUGCAGUGGAAUAUUACUCAGCCAUAAAAAAGAAUGAAAUGAUGCCAUUCGCAGCAACAUGGAUGGAACUAGAGCUGAUCACACUAAGUGAAAGUAAGUCAGACGAAUAUCACGUGAUAUCACUUCCGUGUGGAAUCUUAACAAAUCAUGCAAGUGAACUUACAAAACAGAAACAGACUCACAGACUUCAAAAACACACUCUGGUUCCCAAAGGGGGCGGGUGGUGGGGAGGGAUGGAUUGAGGGUUUGAGACUGGCAGGUGUGCCCUGUGCUACGUGAAAUGGAGGAUCAGCAGGGACCAUACAGCACAGGGAACUCUACCCGAUAUUCUGUAAUAACUUAGAUGGGCAAAGACUCUGACAAAGAAUGGAUAUGUGUUUAUCUGAAUCACGUCGCUGUAAGAGCAGAAAUUAUCCAAACAUUGUACCGCAACUGUACUUCCACAAAACUUUAAAACAUGAGGGGGGGGACCCUCCCAUCUAUUUCUAAAGACAUAAGAAGAAGGACACACAGUGUCACACAUUUAUAUUUAUAUGUAAGUGUGUAGCCCGUCUCCAAAAAUGGCCCCAACAAUUUUCCCGCCUCGUGCACAGGCACAGGUGCUGCUUCCACAGGAAGAGGAAGAGCUUGUCUCCCAUGCCCUUGAACGUGGGCCUGUCCGGUGACUGGAGUAGAUCAAGAGAAUGUGGCAGAAGUGACAUUCGGGAAGCCAGCCCCAUGUGAUGAGAAACCCAAGCCACAUGACGAGUGAGAGGACAGCCCGAGAGCUCCUGGUGACAGCCCAGCUCAACGCCCAGCCACCAGCCAGCACCAGCAGCCAGCGGGCACAUUCUGGACUUUGCAUUCUCGCCACCAUCGCCUGAGGCCGAAGAACCACUCAAUCCACACAGACACGAGGAAAACAGAAGUUGUUCUUCUGGAGCUCUCAUCACGGCGCAGCGGAAACCAAUCCAACUAGGAACCAUGAAGUUGCAGGUUCGAUCCCUGGCCUCGCUCAGUGGGUGAGAGAUCCAGCGUUGCUGUGAGCUGUGGUGUAGGUCGCAGACGUGGCUCGGAUCCGGCGUUGCUGUAGCUGUGGUGUAGACCGGCAGUUGGAUAUCCGAUUGGACCCCUAGCCUGGGAACCUACAUAUGCCGUGGGUGUGGCCCUAAAAAGACAAAAAAAAAAAGUUCUAAACCACUAAGUUUUAAGAGCUUUGUUCCUCACAAUAGAUCCGAGAAACAGUCUUCAUUGCCAUCUUGUAUGAAAUAAAGAAAAACUGGGGGAGUUCCCAUCAUGGCUCAGUGGUUAACGAAUCCGACUAGGAACCAUGAGGUUGUGGGUUUGAUCCCUGGACUCCCUCAGUGGGUUAAGGAUCCGGCGUUGCCAUGAGCUGUGGUGUAGGUCGCAGACGCAGCUGGGAUCCCGAGUUGCUGUGGCUCUGGCGUAGGCCGGCGGCUACAGCUCCGAUUAGACCCCUAGCCUGGGAACCUCCAUAUGCCGCAGGAGCGGCUCAAGAAAAGGCAAAAAGAAAGAAAGAAAAACUGGGAACUAACUUAAAAGGCCACCCAGAGAAUGGCUGCCUAGAAAAGGGUCCAGGCUGUACCAGGAAUGCUGUAGUUACUGAGAAGAUUGGAGAGAAUCUGCAUGUAGGGCCAGGGAAAGGCCCGUGUAAUAGAUGAAAAGCACAUUUCAGAGCAUGCCCAGCAUCAUGUUAUGUAAAAUAUAUAUUAUUUAGGCAAACACAUACACACCAAAUCAUUAAUAAUAGUUACUUCUGGGGAGAAAGAUGGGUUUGGGAUCAAAGAAAAAGACAAAACUUUUUUUUGCUUGUAUGGCCACACCCGCAGCAUAGGGAAGUCCCCAGGCUAGGGGUCAAAUUGGAGCUACUGCUGCCAGCCUGUACCACAGCCACAGCAACGCCAGAUCCUUGACCCACCGAGCGAGGCCAGGGAUUGACACAUGUCCUUCUGGAUACUAGUCGGGUUCGUUACCCCUGAGCCACAAUGGGAACUCCCCAAAACUUCUGUUUUUGAUUUUCACGUAAUUUGACUUUUUUUUUUUUUUUUGCAAUAAUUAUGUACUCAUGUAUUAACAUUAAGAUCUAAUAAAAGGGAGUUCCUUUGUGUGGCUCAGCGGUUAACGAACCCAAUUAGGAUUUAUGAGGAUGGGGGUUCGAUCCCUGGCCUCGCUCAGUGGGUUAAGGAUCUGGCAUUGCUGUGAGCUGUGCUGUAGGCCGCAGAUGCGGCUUGGAUCUUGUGUUGCUGCGACUGUGGCGUAGGUAGGCAGCUACAGCUCCAAUUCGACCCCUAGCCUGGGAACUUCCAUAUGCCACAGGUGUGGCCCUAAAAAAAAAAAUUUAAUGAAAGAUGACAAAUAGAUUUCUGAGGCUUUUCACCCCAUCCUCUAAAUUCCUAAAAAUUUAGGAUAAGCCCAGUUUCAUGCUAGCUGUCAUUUCACUGAGCAUCUAUAAUAAACCGGGAAGCCCACGGCUUAUUUCUAAUUCUCACAACCACCCAGGCAGGUGGGCAUUAUUUUUCCUGUUUCAUAUAUGCGGGCUCUGGGGUUCGAAACGGACAGAUAGCUUUCCAAGUGUCACCUGAGGGGCAGAAUUGGUGUUUGAACCAGGCAGGUCCCACUCCAAAGCCUGGGACCCUUUCAGGGGAGACCUGGGCCCUGCCUGAAGGACCCGAAGGGAGGAACCCCCAGAGCUGAGAGGCCCUGCAGAUGCGGUACCUACACAUGCGCACCCAGGUUCAAAUCCCAAUUUCACCACUGACGAGCUGUGAGGACGUGGACGAGGGACCGCCUCUUGUGUCUCAUUCAACCAGCCAACAAGCAUUUCCUGAGGGCCAGACACCGCUCAUGCCAGGUCCCCACCACUUCACUGGGAAACCUCGGUGCUCAUGGAGCUUAAGAUGCAACAUGGCAGGAGUUCCCGUCAUGGCUCAGUGGUUAACAAAUCCGACGAGAAACCAUGAGGUUGCGGGUUCGAUCCCUGGCCUCACUCAGCGGGUGAAGGAUCCGGCAUUGCCCUGAGCUGUGGUGUAGGCCGGCAGCUACAGCUCCAAUUUGACCCCUAGCCUGGGAACCUCCAUAUGCCACGGGAGCGGCCCAAGAAAUGGCAAAAAAGACCAAAAAAAAAAAAAAAAAAAAAAAAGCAACAUGGUAGCCAGAUAUGAAACAAGCAACCAAAUAAACACAUAACGUGACCACAGGGGAUGAUAAAAGCUAAGCAAAGGGGAGCUAGACAUGCCUCAGUUUCCAUGUCAGUAAAAUGGGACACCAAUGGCACCAGCUUCAUGGGAUUCUUGUGCUGAGUCGAUAAAACAUUUCAUGUCAUGCACCCCUACGUUCACAGGAGCCCCACGUACGAUCGCCGAGACAGGGAAACACCCAAAAUGUCCAACGACAGAUGAGUGGAUAAAGAAGACGUGGUGCACAUCUAUAACGGAAUAUUACUCAGCCCUGAAACAGAAUGAAAUUAUGUCACUGGCAGCAACAUGGAUGGACCGAGAGAUUGUCAUACCAAGUGAAGCAGGUCAGAAAGACAAAUACCAUACGAUACCACUUCUAUGUGGAAUUUAAAAUAGGACACAAAUCGGAGUUCCCGUUGGGGCUCAGUGGUUAAUGAAUUCAACUAGGAACCAUGAGGUUGCGGGUUCGAUCCCUGGCCUCACUCAGCAGGUUAAAGAUCCGGCACUGCCAGGAGCUGUGGUGUGGGUCACAGAUGCGGCUCGGAUCCCGUGUUGCUGUGGCUCUGGUGUAGGUGGGUGGCUAUAGCUCCGAUUCGACCCCUACCCUGGGAAUCUCCAUAUGCCGUGGGAGCGGCUCAAGAAAAGGCAAAAAGACCAAAAAAAUAAAAAUAAAAACAUAAAGCGUACACAGCAAAUAUAUGCGACAAAGAGGUAAGCCACCUGGCCUAGAGCAGUCUGGGAGGCCUGCCCAGCGGAGGUAGCACAGGGGCCUG
rnacentral:lncRNA from 1 species